rnacentral:rRNA from 1 species
AUUCAGUGAAUCAUCGAAUCUUUGAACGCACCUUGCGCCCCUUGGCAUUCCGAGGGGCACACCCGUUUGAGUGUCGUGAAAUUCUCAAGGCCCUUUUCUUUGACCCUUUUUUUUUCGGUCGAGAAGAGAGGAUUUUGGACUUGGAGGUUUGAUGCUUGCUUUUGGGUCUCAAAAGUGAGCUCCUCUCAAAUGAAUUAGUGGGGUCUGCUU